ACUUAGACUGAUCAUGUGAAGGCUGUGAAGGAGUUAGAGAGAAGAUGGAAGUAUGGUGCAAAGAUAGGGCGUUCAGUACGGGCUUGUACGGUCUAGGGUGAGCCAUGAAGAUGUCUAGUGCAACCAAGAAGGAAGAUAGGGCAAUGUACAAAGAUAGGGCGAGUGGUACGGACAGGAGGUCCGUACCAUCGACCGUACAGUCCACUCCUCACGCCCAUGUCAUCCGGUUAACCCCAAAUCUUGAUGUGCAAUGUGUGGGCGGUUCAAUCUGAUCUUAAGUGACCGUUUGGGAUACUUGGAGGGAAAGGAAGAUUCAAAUGGAUAAGGUGAGCUGUUGGUAUGAGCUGGAAAGGUAAAGGUGCUUUACCUUUACAGCCUUGACUCAUCUUAUCCAUCCAAUUCAAAUGAAGCAAUCUGAGCCCUUUACCUUGAGUCAAAUCGCCAGCUAGCUCCAGCAACAUCAAGACCAGUCUUCUCUCAUCCUCACCAUCCAUUUUAUCUUGUAUUUACAGCCUUAGGAUCUAGGUUUGUGAUCUGAGUGUGUAAAGGCAUAUAUAAGCCUCUUAUCAUCAUUUUGUAAUCUCUUAAGUGAGUAAGGGGGAUUUCCCCUCUCCACUUCAUGAAUGAUAAACUGUUCUUGAAUCUAAAACCCUAAUCUCUAAUCUCUUAUUCUCCUAAUCUCUCAGUCUCUUAAU
rnacentral:lncRNA from 1 species